GCAAGAGGAGAGACCCGAAGCGGCCGCCGGUCCGCGUGUCAGGUGAACUGAACUUCAGGAAUGAUCUGCAGGAGAGCGCACCAAACCAGCAUCCAGACAUUAGACAAGGAGGAACAAAUUCCUGUAUUACUCAAGGACCUGUGAACAUGUUAGCAAUACCUCAGACCCCAUGGCCUGCUUUGUUGAAAGAGGGGAUCCGAUUUCCCGAGGCUUUGAUGUCUCCUCCUCUCAAGCUUCCACCCUCCUUUCUGUUGAGGCGCCCACUUGUUCACCCACACACAUAAACAUGAACACACACUCACUCACUCACAUGCUUGUGCCUUAUGCUUAUGUGAAACCCGACACAAGGCUGCAUCUGGUGCGUGAAGCUGGCCGUGAGCCCGAAAACCUCAUCGAAUGACUUCAUGUAUGAAGCAGUCGAGAUGAAAUAUAGCAGACAGGAAACUUAAAACUGACGACGCCAUUGGCUUUGAGUCCAGAA